UGUUUCUUUUGUAGUUCCCAUCCCUGGCACUAGGGGGAGUUGGGGAAGGUAACUAUUCUAGCUCACCCUUUAUAAGGAAGUGAGUAAGAGGGUAGCCAUGUGCUUUGGAAGGGCUAGGAGCUCACCUUUGUUCAAGCCAUUGUAUGAGCCCUAUUUUGAGGAACAUCAUUGUUCUUUCAGCUCAAUAGGGUUUUCUUUUGUGGGUGUAUGGGCUGUGCCAACCAUCAACCAUGAGGUUGAAAAGAGUAAGGACUAUUUCAUCCUGAUUAUUCGUUUGGACUGAGUUUUCUUGGGAUAUACCUUGAUGCUUGUUCUGGAAUGGGAAAUGGAUGCUUAAUAUGGACAUUAACCACUGUGAGCUCCAACAACAAUGUUCAUCUGUGAUUCUCUACUCCUUUAAGGAGAGUGUUAUAAGGUAGUGUGGUUUCAUGUCUGUAUGUGAUCAGGUGCAAUGGUGUAUUUUUCUGUGUUUCUUUUGUUUUAUAUUGUACUGGGGU